UACAGAGGUCCCGAGCGUUGUUUCGGAUUUAUUGGGCGUAAAGGGUGCGUAGGCGGCGGAGUAAGUUGGGUGUGAAAUCCCGGGGCUUAACCUCGGAAUGGCAUUCAAUACUGCUUCGCUUGAGUACUGGAGAGGAGGCUGGAAUUUACGGUGUAGCAGUGAAAUGCGUAGAUAUCGUAAGGAAGGCCGGUGGCGAAAGCGAGCCUCUGGACAGUUACUGACGCUGAUGCACGAAGGCCAGGGGAGCAAACGGG
rnacentral:rRNA from 1 species